GAAGAACAGAAGCUGCAUUUUCAUUCUUUUGGUUAACUGUUAUAACAUCCAACAAUUCUUCACUGAAAUCAGUAAGGGAUCCCCCAUGUGAAACCAUCUUGCUACCUUUUUAGUUCACAGACUUCUUUAAGGAAUGGCGAUCAUGUUUCUACAUGUACAGCACAAAACAUCUGUACACACUCACGUCCGAAAAUAUCUUCAGUGAGAACGCAAAGGCAAGGAGUGCAACAAUGGGGCCCAAAUGAACUUCAUCUAAAUUGCACAAUGCAGUAAAGUUUAGACCAACCCUUGUAAU